CACGUAGGCGGCAUGACAAGUCAAAGGUGAAAGCCCUCGGCUCAACCGAGGAACUGCCUUUGAAACUGUUUUGCUUGAGUCCGGGAGGGGGGAGCGGAAUUCCCAGAGUAGCGGUGAAAUGCGUAGAUACUGGGAGGAACACCGGUGGCGAAGGCGGCUCCCUGGACCGGUACUGACGCUGAGGUGCGAAAGCGUGGGUAGCAAACA
rnacentral:rRNA from 1 species